rnacentral:rRNA from 1 species
AUUGAACGCUGGCGGCAUGCUUUACACAUGCAAGUCGAACGGUAACAGGGAGCUUGCUCCGCUGACGAGUGGCGAACGGGUGAGUAAUGCGUCGGAACGUGCCGAGUAGUGGGGGAUAACGCAGCGAAAGUUGUGCUAAUACCGCAUACGUACUGAGGUAGAAAGUGGGGGACCUUCGGGCCUCACGCUAUUCGAGCGGCCGACGUCUGAUUAGCUAGUUGGUGAGGUAAAGGCUCACCAAGGCGACGAUCAGUAGCGGGUCUGAGAGGAUGAUCCGCCACACUGGGACUGAGACACGGCCCAGACUCCUACGGGAGGCAGCAGUGGGGAAUUUUGGACAAUGGGCGCAAGCCUGAUCCAGCCAUGCCGCGUGCGGGAAGAAGGCCUUCGGGUUGUAAACCGCUUUUGGCAGGAACGAAACGGUGCAAGCCAAUACCUUGCGCUAAUGACGGUACCUGCAGAAUAAGCACCGGCUAACUACGUGCCAGCAGCCGCGGUAACAC